AGAGUUUGAUCCUGGCUCAGGAUGAACGCUAGCUACAGGCUUAACACAUGCAAGUCGAGGGGCAGCAUCAUCAAAGCUUGCUUUGAUGGAUGGCGACCGGCGCACGGGUGAGUAACACGUAUCCAACCUGCCGACAACACUGGGAUAGCCUUUCGAAAGAAAGAUUAAUACCGGAUGGCAUAGUUUUCCCGCAUGGGAUAAUUAUUAAAGAAUUUCGGUUGUCGAUGGGGAUGCGUUCCAUUAGGCAGUUGGCGGGGUAACGGCCCACCAAACCAACGAUGGAUAGGGGUUCUGAGAGGAAGGUCCCCCACAUUGGAACUGAGACACGGUCCAAACUCCUACGGGAGGCAGCAGUGAGGAAUAUUGGUCAAUGGACGAGAGUCUGAACCAGCCAAGUAGCGUGAAGGAUGACUGCCCUAUGGGUUGUAAACUUCUUUUAUACGGGAAUAAAGUGAGGCACGCGUGCCUUUUUGUAUGUACCGUAUGAAUAAGGAUCGGCUAACUCCGUGCCAGCAGCCGCGGUAAUACGGAGGAUCCGAGCGUUAUCCGGAUUUAUUGGGUUUAAAGGGAGCGUAGGCGGGUUGUUAAGUCAGUUGUGAAAGUUUGCGGCUCAACCGUAAAAUUGCAGUUGAUACUGGCGACCUUGAGUGCAACAGAGGUAGGCGGAAUUCGUGGUGUAGCGGUGAAAUGCUUAGAUAUCACGAAGAACUCCGAUUGCGAAGGCAGCUUACUGGAUUGUAACUGACGCUGAUGCUCGAAAGUGUGGGUAUCAAACAGGAUUAGAUACCCUGGUAGUCCACACAGUAAACGAUGAAUACUCGCUGUUGGCGAUAUACGGUCAGCGGCCAAGCGAAAGCAUUAAGUAUUCCACCUGGGGAGUACGCCGGCAACGGUGAAACUCAAAGGAAUUGAC
rnacentral:rRNA from 1 species